rnacentral:rRNA from 1 species
GAUUUCUGACAUGGUCUGCCAGAUCCGCCGGCGUUAGCUGUGUGAGUAUCGGGCCGCCGCGUCAUCCUUGUAGAAAACUCUCGUGCUCUUCACUGGGCUGCGGGGGUGAUCUACAUCUUUUACUUUGAAAAAAUUAGAGUGUUCAAAGCAGGCUUACGCUGUGAAUACAUUAGCAUGGAAUAAUAAUUUAGGACUUCGGUUCUAUUUUGUUGGUUUCUAGGACUGAAGUAAUGAUUGAUAGGGAUAGUUGGGGGUGCUAGUAUUCAGCGGCCAGAGGUGAAAUUCUCGGAUUCGCUGAAGACUAACUUAUGCGAAAGCAUU